ACGCUCGACACCUACGGGAGGUAGCAGUGGGGAAUAUUGCACAAUGGGGGAAACCCUGAUGCAGCGACGCCGCGUGGAGGAAGAAGGUCUUCGGAUUGUAAACUCCUGUUGUUGGGGAAAAAGAGGAUGGUACCCAACAAGGAAGUGACGGCUAACUACGUGCCGGCAGCCGCGGUAAUCUGAGCGGGCUGGCAAGGC
rnacentral:rRNA from 1 species